GAGGCCAGAUCAGGAAGCUGGAACCAGAUGUUGGAGAAACCUGGAAGAGACUCAUAAGUGCAUGCACAAGUUUGGAGACCUAACCACAGAGCAUAAUGUGAUGUGUGCACCUACCCAACCGAGUGCAAGGGUUGAAAGAAAUUGAAGGACAACCAUUUCCAGUGCUUGCCUGCUUUCCUCCAGGAGCUUCAGGAAUACAUGGGAUGUACCAGGAGUAUAUUGUUUUUCAAAGACUCUGGUAUCCUUUAGGGAUUGUGCCCACUGCUAUGUCUGCUUCUAAAACAACAUUAUAUGUGAAGGAUUUCACAUAACAUGCAGUCUGGCUCUUAGGUAUAUCAGGAAAAAGUUGGUUUUGAUGGAUAUCUAUUGGCUAGAGUUUACAACAUCAACAAUUUACUCAAUCUCUAAUCCCCAACACAUUUUUAACAAAUGUUUGAAAAAAAAUUGACAUAGAGCCUUGACAGCCCCUUAAAUGCUAACAUAUUUUGUAAGUUUUCAUGGUCUACAAUCUACUUCAUCAGAUUGAGUGUUUGUAGAUAUUUACUCAGAACUAAAGUAUAAUCAGAUGUGAUGGUUUAAAAAAGAAAGAUUUUGCUUUGGCACUUUGAACCCUUUUGUCAAAGGAGGAAAUUAUCUAAAAAGCACACUGUGCCAGAAAAUUAAGUUCCUUGAUAUAAUCAAUAUAUUUACUGUGAAUGGUAGGAUGGAUGAGCCAGUCUCUUUCUGGUCUGUGUUAGUUUUACAUGCAUUAAUUUAAAUGUCUAUUCUGUCCCAUUUCUGUUUCAACUUGUAAUUUUUAUUUUACAAUCACCAAAUAAAAAUUCACAUUAUUUUUGUAUA